AUGGCCAUCUUCGAUGAGUUCUACGUUGGGUCCAUCGACCUCGGCCGCCUCAACUAUGGGAUCAUCUCGCUUAUUCCUAAAGUGCCUGGGGCUUCUGACAUCCGCCAUUUUUGGCCGAUCAUGGUGAUCAAUGUGAUCUUCCGGAUUCUGGCCAAAGGGUACGCCAAUAGGGUGACCCUGCUUGCGGAUCGCAUUACCCACCCCAACCAAUCCACUUUCAUCCAAGGGCGGUAUAUCCUGGAUGGGGUGCUAGCCCUUCAUGAGGUCGUCCAUGAGGUCUGGGCUAAACACCUCAAGGCGGUCUUCCUGAAAAUCGAUUUCCAUAAGGCUUAUGACACCGUCAGCUAGUCCUUCCUUCAGGAAGUUUUGCUUCGGAAGGGCUUUGACGACCGUUGGAUCACCCGGGUGAUGCAGAUGGUUUUCUGCGGCCGCACCGCCAUGAACAUCAAUGGGGAAUUAUGUCCCUACUUCCCCACCCUUUGUGGGGUUAGACAAGGCGACCCCUUCUCCCCAUUCUUAUUCAACAUGGUGGUGGACGCUCUCGCUACUAUUCUAGACAAGGCGAAGGCGACAAGCCAUAUUCGUGGGAUCACCCCCCACUUGGCUGGUGGUUCCAGGAUCUCCCUUCUCUAG
rnacentral:rRNA from 1 species